UACGUAGGAGACGAGCGUUGUCCGGAGUUACUGGGCGUAAAGGGUGCGCAGGCGGCCUGGCGCGUCGCGAGUGAAAUCUCCCGGCUCAACUGGGAGGGUGGUCGCGAGACGGCUAGGCUUGAGGCUCGGUGAGGGGCGUGGAAUUCCGGGUGGAGCGGUGAAAUGCGUAGAGAUCCGGAGGAACACCGACGGCGUAGGCAGCGCCCUAGACGAGACCUGACGCUCAGGCACGAAAGCGCGGGGAGCGAACAGG
rnacentral:rRNA from 1 species